UCCUACGGGAGGCAGCAGUGGGGAAUAUUGGACAAUGGGCGAAAGCCUGAUCCAGCCAUGCCGCGUGUGUGAAGAAGGUCUUCGGAUUGUAAAGCACUUUAAGUUGGGAGGAAGGGCAGUAAGUUAAUACCUUGCUGUUUUGACGUUACCAACAGAAUAAGCACCGGCUAACUUCGUGCCAGCAGCCGCGGUAAUACGAAGGGUGCAAGCGUUAAUCGGAAUUACUGGGCGUAAAGCGCGCGUAGGUGGUUCAGCAAGUUGGAGGUGAAAUCCCCGGGCUCAACCUGGGAACUGCCUCCAAAACUACUGAGCUAGAGUACGGUAGAGGGUAGUGGAAUUUCCUGUGUAGCGGUGAAAUGCGUAGAUAUAGGAAGGAACACCAGUGGCGAAGGCGACUACCUGGACUGAUACUGACACUGAGGUGCGAAAGCGUGGGGASCAAACAGGAUUAGAUACCCUGGUAGUCCACGCC
rnacentral:rRNA from 1 species